CGCGCGGCUGUUUCCCCCCCCCCAACCUCGCAAUCCGGUCCCGGCCGCAGCUCCCGGAGCGGUUGCCAUGGAAACGGCGGGAAGCAACGCGCGGCGCUUCAUCCCAGCCAGGUGGGCCGAAGCUGCGCAGCUUUUUGCCUUGUGACAUGCAGAGGUCUGUGCGAUGAGGAGAGGCCAGCCACAGAAAACAUCCCUUGGGAAUCCACAGAUGUCUCCGUCCCGUGCUCGGAGUCCAAAGUCUCCUGCAAGCGCCCGUAGCAGGUUAUCUCCGCUGAACAGAGGAGGGAUCCACCAACCAACUGGGCGAAGAUAUCAAGGAGAGGUAGAUCAAGAAAGCGAUACAGAUGGCAGCCUAGGUAUCCGGUAUAUAACAGAGCCUCUUAUUAAGAAGCUGGCCAAGCAAGAGAAUCUGGCGCGCGUAACUGCUCUGAACCUUUCUCUCGGUAAAGAUGGAGGGAAAAAAUUUAAGGUAUAUGUCUGGUGCUUUGUACUUUAACAACCAUCAACUACAGACAAAUAAUUCUUAGAUAACAAUUAAGCAUUUCUUCCCAGGGCAGGAAGUCUUGUCAGGUGCCUGUUUGAGAUACACGUAUCAUUUCCUGCGCUGCUGGAUUUUGUACCAGUUGCAGCUUCUGUAUGCUUUUCAAAGGGCAGCCCCAUACAGAGUGCAUUAGAGCAGUGCAGGAGGGGAGUGACUAAGGGGUGAGUGACUCUGCGCAAGGCUUCCUAAGUGAGCAGGGUUGCAAUUGGCACACAAGAUAGAAUUGUGCAAAUGGCCUGCUGGCCACAGCUGUCACUUGCUUAUCAAGAAGUUGAAGGUCCGGAAAUUGUGCACCAUUGCCAAAUGAGGGAACACAACCUUGUUCAGAGUGAAAGAUGGAACUAUCCUGGAAUUGUUUAGGGCACAAAUCCAGAGCCAACCCAUCUUGGGGGAGAUUCUAUUUUUCCUCCUCAUCCAGACACUGUGUAGUAGCCAGUGAUUUAUAAAUACUUUUAUUAGUGUUAAUAAAUCAAAUGCAAAAGUGAACAAACAUCUCCUAGAGAUUCCUCAAAGAUCAGAGGCACUGGAUUGGAAAGGCCAUAGCUGAAAGAAGACUACGUGCCAGAGGAGGAGCCGCCUCUCUCCAUGCCACUCAGGGGUCCCAAUUGAAGGAGUCAGGACCUCAGAAUUGACAUCUUAAAGAGCUAACUUUCCCGAGAGAGAAAUAAAAAUUUAGAGAACCUGAACUGGCCACCCUUCUUCAUUUAAACAGUAUUUCAAAAACAUCUCUCCUUUAUAUUGCCAGGUGAAUUUCAGUAAAUCACUUCUUCUCCAUCCGGGAUGAUGUAAUGGCAAGGUGGGUGAGCUUUGCUCCAAGCAGCAGCUGAGGCACUGGCAGAAUCAGAAUUUUAGCAUGCUCUGCUGGGUGGGGAUCAUCUAACAGAAACAGUCUCUGCUUCCUCUUGCUACAUUCACACGUACAGCUGAGGGCCCCUACGUAGACCCAAGAGAGAGUGCGACUCCUGGAGCUGGGAUGCUUUUGGUCCUGACAUGGGAGGGAGGUUGGGGAGACUGGCAGAUCCUACAGUGAGGCAACCUGGGCCUCUUGAUCUGGCAAAGGAUCUUACGAAUUUCAGUUGUUAAGAGAGGGGAUGAUGGGGGCAAAA